rnacentral:rRNA from 1 species
GUGUCAGCAGCCGCGGUAAGACGAGCAUCACGAACGUUAUUCGGAAUUACUGGGCUUAAAGGGUGCGUAGGCGGUGUAGCAAGUCGGGAGUGAAAUCCCGCAGCUCAACUGCGGAAUUGCUUUCGAUACUGCUGCGCUUGAGUGAGAUAGAGGUAAGCGGAACUUAGGGUGGAGCGGUGAAAUGCGUUGAUAUCCUAAGGAACACCGGUGGCGAAGGCGGCUUACUGGGUCUCUACUGACGCUGAUGCACGAAAGCCAGGGUAGCGAACGGGAUUAGAAACCCCCGUAGUCC